rnacentral:rRNA from 1 species
UCCCAGACUCCUACGGGAGGCAGCAGUAGGGAAUUUUCGGCAAUGGGGGGAACCCUGACCGAGCAACGCCGCGUGAACGAAGAAGUUAUUCGUAAUGUAAAGUUCUUUUAUCAGGGAAGAAAGAGGAAUUUGACGGUACCUGAGGAAUAAGCUCCGGCUAACUACGUGCCAGCAGCCGCGGUAAUACGGAGGAUGCGAGCGUUAUCCGGAUUUAUUGGGUUUAAAGGGUGCGUAGGCGGAAUGCCAAGUCAGGGGUAAAAUCGGGGGGCUCAACCUCGCUCCGCCGUUGAAACUGGCGUUCUUGAGUGGGCGAGAAGUAUGCGGAAUGCGUGGUGUAGCGGUGAAAUGCAUAGAUAUCACGCAGAACUCCGAUUGCGAAGGCAGCAUACCGGCGCCCAACUGACGCUGAAGCACGAAAGCGUGGGUAUCGAACAGGAUUAGAUACCCCCGUA